rnacentral:lncRNA from 1 species
GCCACGCCCAGCUAAUUGUUUUAUUUUUUAUUUGUAGAGAUGAGGUCUCGCUAUGUUGCUCAGGCUGGUCUUAACUCCUAGGCUCAAGCAAUCCUCCUGCCUUAGCCUCCCAAAGUGUUGGGAUUACAAGCAUGAGUGACCCUGCCAGCUCUUAUGCAUGAUUUUUUAAUGGCUACAAAUAAUUUCAUCCUGUGAAUGUGCUAUAAUUUGUUUAACAAAUCCCCAAAGGCAUAUUUAGGCUACUUCCCCAUUUUUCACUAGUAUAAACAACAUAUUGAUAAAUGCCUUGCCCUUUAUCCAUAAUUACUUAAGAUAUAUUAUUAGAAAAGAUGAUGCACCCAUUUACGAGUUUUCAUAUUCACUAGCAGAAAGUUUGUAAGGAGACAUCCUAAUUUUGCACAUCUGGUUGACAAAGGUGAACACAUCUGAAAACAUAGCUGGUUUGUAAAUGUGAAAAACUGGGCAUCUUGGACACAUCAAUGGAUUGUUAUUAAUUUGGUAAUAGCAAGCACAACAAAUUUUGGUCAGGCUCCUCUGAGCCUUCUCAACCAAGCCUUGACCUUGGCCUGUGAUAAAGUCUGGAUCUGUGUCACCACCCAAAUCGCAUGUUGAACUAUAAUCCCCAGUGUUGGAGGUGGGGCCUAGUGGGUGGUGAUUGGAUUAUGGUGGGCGGUUUCUCAUGAAUGGU